UACGUAGGGGGCGAGCGUUUGUCCGGAUUUAUUGGGCGUAAAGAGCUCGUAGGCGGCUUAGCAAGUCGGGUGUGAAAACUCCAGGCUCAACCUGGAGACGCCACUCGAGACUGCUAUGGCUAGAGUCCGGUAGGGGACCACGGAAUUCCUGGUGUAGCGGUGGAAUGCGCAGAUAUCAGGAGGAACACCGGUGGCGAAGGCGGGGUCUCUGGGCAGUAACUGACGCUGAGGAGCGAAAGCGUGGGGAGCGAACAGG
rnacentral:rRNA from 1 species